rnacentral:rRNA from 1 species
AUUGAACGCUGGCGGCAUGCUUUACACAUGCGAGUCGAACGGCAGCGCGGGCUUCGGCCUGGCGGCGAGUGGCGAACGGGUGAGUAAUACAUCGGAACGUGCCCAGUAGUGGGGGAUAGCUCGGCGAAAGCCGGAUUAAUACCGCAUACGACCUGAGGGUGAAAGCGGGGGAUCUUCGGACCUCGCGCUAUUGGAGCGGCCGAUGGCAGAUUAGCUAGUUGGUGGGGUAAAGGCCUACCAAGGCGACGAUCUGUAGCUGGUCUGAGAGGACGACCAGCCACACUGGGACUGAGACACGGCCCAGACUCCUACGGGAGGCAGCAGUGGGGAAUUUUGGACAAUGGGCGAAGGCCUGAUCCAGCAAUGCCGCGUGUGUGAUGAAGGCCUUCGGGUUGUAAAGCACUUUUGGCGGGAACGAAAAGGACUGUGCCAAUACCACGGUUCGAUGACGGUACCCGCAGAAUAAGCACCGGCUAACUACGUG